rnacentral:rRNA from 1 species
UGCAGUCGAGCGAGAAAGUCCCGCAAGGGAUGAGUACAGCGGCGCACGGGUGAGUAACACGUGGGCAACCUACCCUCGAGUGGGGGAUAACCUGGGGAAACCCGGGCUAAUACCGCAUAACAUCCAUUGGACUGCGGUCUGGUGGAUCAAAGGGGCAAUUCGCUGGAGGAGGGGCCCGCGGCCGAUUAGCUAGUUGGUGAGGUAACGGCCCACCGAGGCAACGAUCGGUAGCCGGUCUGAGAGGACGCACGGCCACACUGGAACUGAAACACGGUCCAGACUCCUACGGGAGGCAGCAGUGGGGAAUCUUGCACAAUGCCCGCAAGGGUGAUGCAGCGACGCCGCGUGAGUGAUGAAGCCCUUCGGGGUGUAAAGCUCUUUCGACAGGGACGAUUAUGACGGUACCUGUAGAAGAAGCCCCGGCAAACUACGUGCCAGCAGCCGCGGUAAUACGUAGGGGGCCAGCGUUGUUCGGAAUUACUGGGCGUAAAGAGCGCGUAGGCGGUGCAGCAAGUUUGGUGUUAAAUCUCAGGGGCUUAACUGGGAGGGGUCGCCGAAAACUGCUGUGCUCGAGUGCGGGAGAGGAGAGUGGAAUUCCCGGUGUAGCGG